rnacentral:tRNA from 1 species
UAAAUAGUAGCUUAAUAUUUAUUAAAGCAUUGGACUGUUAAUCCAAAGAUGUAGAUACUACCUAUUUAG